AAAGUACUCCCUCCAUCCCAAAAUUCUUUUCUUAGAUUUGUCUAGAUACGGAUGUAUCAAGUCACAUUUUAGUAUUAGAUACAUCCGUAUCUAGACAAAUCUAAGAAAAGAAAUUUGGGACAGAGGGAGUAGUUG
rnacentral:pre_miRNA from 1 species